rnacentral:rRNA from 1 species
GACGAACGCUGGCGGCGUGCUUAACACAUGCAAGUCGAACGGAAAGGCCCUGCUUUUGUGGGGUGCUCGAGUGGCGAACGGGUGAGUAACACGUGAGUAACCUGCCCUUGACUUUGGGAUAACUUCAGGAAACUGGGGCUAAUACCGGAUAGGAGCUCCUGCUGCAUGGUGGGGGUUGGAAAGUUUCGGCGGUUGGGGAUGGACUCGCGGCUUAUCAGCUUGUUGGUGGGGUAGUGGCUUACCAAGGCUUUGACGGGUAGCCGGCCUGAGAGGGUGACCGGCCACAUGGGGACUGAGAUACGGCCCAGACUCCUACGGGAGGCAGCAGUGGGGAAUAUUGCACAAUGGGCGGAAGCCUGAUGCAGCAACGCCGCGUGCGGGAUGACGGCCUUCGGGUUGGAAACCGCUUUCGCCUGUGACGAAGCAUGAGUGACGGUAAUGGGGAAAGAAGCACCGGCUAACUACGU